UCCUGCUCUCUCCUUUCGUUCUUUCAUUCUCCCUUCCGUUUUCGUUUGUUUGUUUUCUCAUUUUCUUUCACUCUGCUCUUGUGGCUGUGAUGACUAUUUCGUUUCUCGAAUCUGAUAUCGAUGUCAUUCGAGGACCGCCUUGAUGACUUCAUUUGUGCGUGUCUGAGCCAUUUUUGUUCUUGUUCUUCGAUCUAAAUUGUAGAAAUCAAACAUUUAGAUCACCUGAUUGACGGGAUCGGAUGAUGAUCGAUGUGGAUUUUACUUUUGUUACUGAUUUGAUAGUUUGAUUAGGCUUCAUAUGUGCAUAUUGAUUGGAUCAGUGGAGAAGGAAGGGGAAGUUGAUUAAUGAGAACUCAAAUUUAAUAUGCUUGUUUUAGCUCUUGGAGGCCUUCUUUCUUGUGAAAUUUUAGAUUUCAAUGUUGCUUGGUCUCAGGAAGAUGCCAGCUAAAUCUUGGGGCUUUCUCCAUCAAGGAGCUAUUUGAGUUGGAGGAUCUGUGUGAUGCAUGCAUGUGGUGUGUUUACUGCACUGUUCUGUACUCAUAUGGGCGCAUUUAAUCUUUGAAUGGAUAGCUUUUGGUUGAACGAGACCGAUUCUGAGCUGUUUUCAUUGAAGGUACAAAGAAAGCCUUUUAUUAUAUGGCAUGGAAUUUAGUCUGGGGAGCAUAUAUAAGUAUAAACUCGCAUUGCAUUUAUAGCUCAUUGUUCUCAUCAGGAUAGACUAUAUAAAUUACUCGAGUCUCAUGUAGAUCUUACAAAAUGCAGAUUCUAAUAUGGCAUUAGAAGCAUGAGUACUUGACAUGUUCUGAGAUUAUGAUGCAUGCCAAUAGCAGGAAAUCAGACAGACUUCAUCCUUUUUUUCACUUUUUAAUUUGAUCAGAUGUGGCCAUUUACAGCACAGUAGUGUUUCUGCAUUAUGCCAGAAUGCCAUCGAUGCUGCUGCUUUGUUUCCUCCUGUGAGCCUCAUAUGACCGAAGCAAUUCACAUUGGCACAGCAAAAUGUGAAUCAAGAGAACGUUUAUCUUCAUAUGUCUCGACUCAUUCCUCGGAUUGUUGGGAAUUUUAUAGCAAUUCAGGUGGUAUAUUUGUGCAUCCACACUGUUUGCUGGGACAUGAAUUGUGGGAAUUAACGAGUUGGAUUGGGUUUCUUAUGUUAUCAAUUGAUAGUAUGUUAUGGUACGGAUGUUAGCACCAUAGCAGUGACCUCCAAAGUUGGCUGAGCUCCACAUUGUAAAAGAUUAUUUCUAGUUAGAAUUAAUCAAAAUGCACAAUAAAUCCACUCCAUCAUUCUUUCA